CACACACACACACACACACACACACACACACACACACCGGUCCAAUGUAGUCCUAAAGCAAAGCCAAGGGGCGGAGUAGACAUAUCUGAAUUUACUCCCACUUAAAUCCAAACCAAUCAGCGUCGAGCUCCGCAUGUAAGAGGUAGGGUGACUAGCAGCUGCGCUUUGGGCAUGCGCAACCUCUCACCUACGGCCUCCUCCCGCCUCGCAUGCGCACCGCGCUUCAGAAGAGAGGCUGGGAAAAGGGGGAGAGGAUGGACACAAACCUUAGUGCCAUCCUGAAAUUCCGGCAACUCUCCUCGGCCCUCCUGUAUCACACGCUUUUGGAUCCCGUCCUCUCGAAGUCUUGCGAUGAGAUCCGCCAUCCUCCUUCCCCGCUGCUCCCUUUCGGCAACUUCCGGACUCGCUCGGUAGCUUCCGGACCUGUUUCGGCAACUCCUAGAGCCUGGGCAGCUUCUGAGCAAGCGCCAUUUUGACUGAGGGCAGAAGCCAAAAAGGGAGGGAAUGAAGGAAAGAGCCGUGAUUGGUUCUUAAUGCUGCGGCUUUACCGCGGAGCUGGGGGCGGGCCCUGAACCUGCUUAGGGGCGGAGCCUAACCAGUGGGACGCGACUGUGGCCUCCCCUGCCAGUUGUGCUCAGUUGGCUUUAUUGGGACUGCAGCUCUAGUAGCUGUGUGCCACUCCAUUUAAGUUAUAGAUGCCCUAUUUAACGGCAUUCCAGUUAGAAAAUAAAAAACGAAAAAAACAG
rnacentral:sRNA from 1 species